AGCAGCCGCGGUAAUUCCAGCUCCAAUAGCGUAUAUUAAAGUUGUUGCAGUUAAAAAGCUCGUAGUUGAACUUCGGGGUUCACCCAUUGGUCAGGCUUAAUUGUCUGCACUGGUGAGAUGAGUCUCUACCUUCUGAGGAACUUUCAUGUCAUUAAUUUGGUGUGAUGGGAAAUCAGGACUGUUACUUUGAAAAAAUUAGAGUGUUUAAAGCAGGCUAACGUCUGAAUACAUUAGCAUGGAAUAAUGAAAUAGGACGGACUGAUUCUAUUUCGUUGGUUUCUAGGAUCACCGUAAUGAUUAAUAGGGAUAGUUGGGGGCAUUAGUAUUCAAUUGUCAGAGGUGAAAUUCUUGGAUUUAUUGAAGACUAACUACUGCGAAAGCAUUUGCCAAGGAUGUUUUCAUUAAUCAAGAACGAAAGUUAGGGGAUCGAAGACGAUCAGAUACCGUCGUAGUCUUAACCAUAAACUAUGCCGACUAGGGAUCGGACGAAGUUAAUUUUAUAAUGACGCGUUUC
rnacentral:rRNA from 1 species